CAGCAGACGACUCCGAUCCAGAUCCGUUUUCAAACCGGCAAAUCCGCGUUACAGUCACAUCCGUUACAGGGCUGUAACACGGAUCCAGCCCAGGUGCGGUUUCAGUGGGCGGGAAUUACAGUCGCAGAGCGGAUCCGGGCCGCGUCCGUGGAAACGAGGGCGCGUUUUUUUUUCCGAAGUUCAGAACAGGAGAAGAUGUCAAGACGGUCGAGGAAAAUACAGACUGCUCGCUGUUAUCCUCAAAAACCUCACCAAGAUGUGUCAGACUGUAUUGUUGGCGAACACUAAGGCCUAUGUUAUCAGAAGACUUGCUAACAUGAAGAAAACGUCCAGAGGAAAUUACCGAUCGUUUUGCUAGAUAAGACCCUUCUUACUCGUCUGGGAUCAUGUUUUGAAGAUGCAAUUUGGACCCCACUGAAGUCCACAAUAAAGAGAGAAACCCUGGAAUGUUUUCCUCAAAACCCUUCAUUUCUUUUUGACUGA